rnacentral:rRNA from 1 species
GAAACGACUGCUAAGACUGGAUAGGAGAUAAGAAGGCAUCUUCUUAUUUUUAAAAGACCUAGCAAUAGGUAUGCUUAGGGAAGAGCUUGCGUCACAUUAGUUAGUUGGUGGGGUAAUGGCCUACCAAGACGAUGAUGUGUAGCCGGGCUGAGAGGUCGAACGGCCACAUUGGGACUGAGACACGGCCCAAACUCCUACGGGAGGCAGCAGUAAGGAAUUUUCGGCAAUGGAGGAAACUCUGACCGAGCAAUGCCGCGUGAACGAUGAAGUAUUUUGGUACGUAAAGUUCUUUUAUUAGGGAAGAAAAGGUGGUGGAAAAACCAUUAUGACGGUACCUAAUGAAUAAGCCCCGGCUAACUAUGUGCCAGCAGCCGCGGUAAUACAUAGGGGGCAAGCGUUAUCCGGAAUUAUUGGGCGUAAAGGGUGCGUAGGCGGUUAAAUAAGUUUAUGGUCUAAGUGCAACGCUCAACGUUGUGAUGCUAUAAAAACUGUUUAGCUAGAGUUGGAUAGAGGCAAGUGGAAUUCCGUGUGUAGUGGUAAAAUGCGUAAAUAUACGGAGGAACACCAGAAGCGAAGGCGGCUUGCUGGGUCUUAACUGACGCUGAGGCACGAAAGCGUGGGGAGCAAACAGGAUUAGAUACCCUGGUAGUCCACGCCCUAAACGAUGAGUACUAAACGUUGGAUAAAACCAGUGUUGAAGUUAACACAUUAAGUACUCCGCCUGAGUAGUACGUACGCAAGUAUGAAACUUAAAGGAAUUGACGGGACUCCGCACAAGCGGUGGAUCAUGUUGUUUAAUUCGAAGGUACCCGAAAAACCUCACCAGGUCUUGACAUGCUUUUGCAAAGCUGUAGAAAUACAGUGGAGGUUAUCAGAAGCACAGGUGGUGCAUGGUUGUCGUCAGCUCGUGUCGUGAGAUGUUGGGUUAAGUCCCGCAACGAGCGCAACCCUUGUUGUUAAUUGCCAUCAUUAAGUUGGGGACUUUAGCAAGACUGCCAAUGAUAAAUUGGAGGAAGGUGGGGACGACGUCAAAUCAUCAUGCCCCUUAUGACCUGGGCUACAAACGUGAUACAAUGGCUGUUACAAAGGGUAGCUAAAGCGUAAGCUUCUGGCGAAUCUCAAAAAAGCAGUCUCAGUUCGGAUUGAAGUCUGCAACUCGACUUCAUGAAGUUGGAAUCGCUAGUAAUCGCGAAUCAGCAUGUCGCGGUGAAUACGUUCUCGGGGUUUGUACACCCCGCCCGUCA